rnacentral:rRNA from 1 species
GGACCACUUAAAAUAUNUAUGGUGGUGUCACAAAAUCGGAGGCCACGACUGUUUACUAAAAACACAAUUCAGAGCAAUGAUGAAAAUCAUAGUAUUCUGGAUGAAAUUUGCCCGAUGCCAUUAACAUAAAAGAGGUAAUGGAUUACUGUCACUAAUUGAAAGUCUGGUUAAUAGCGGUCUUAACUAUGAGGAUCCUAAGGUAGCAAAAUCAGUUGGCCAUUAAACUGUGGUCUGGUAUCAAUAGUGUAACGAUGGUCUCACUGUCUCUACAACUUGCUCAGUGAAGUUGAAUUCAUCCGUGCAGAUGCGGACUGCCUCCAUU